UACGAAGGGGGCUAGCGUUGUUCGGAUUUACUGGGCGUAAAGCGCACGUAGGCGGUUUGUUAAGUGAGAGGUGAAAUCCCAGAGCUCAACUCUGGAACUGCCUUUCAUACUGGCAAGCUAGAGUCCGGAAGAGGUAAGUGGAACUCCUAGUGUAGAGGUGGAAUUCGUAGAUAUUAGGAAGAACACCAGUGGCGAAGGCGGCUUACUGGUCCGGAACUGACGCUGAGGUGCGAAAGCGUGGGGAG
rnacentral:rRNA from 1 species